UUGAGCAGCCAAACCACCUGCAGUUCAGACCAGGUACUCCAUAUGAAGCUAAGCAGGUUUGGGCCCGGCCAGUACUUAGAUAGGAGACCAACUAAGAAAGCUGGGUUACUGCUGGGA
rnacentral:rRNA from 1 species